AACAAGGAUUCCCCUAGUAACUGCGAGUGAAGCGGGAAAAGCUCAAAUUUAAAAUCUGGCAGUCUCUGGCUGUCCGAGUUGUAAUCUAGAGAAGUAAUGCCCGUGCUGGACCGUGUAUAAGUCUCCUGGGAUGGGGCGUCAUAGAGGGUGAGAAUCCCGUCUUUGACACGGACUACCAGUGCAUUGUGGUAUGCUCUCAAAGAGUCGAGUUGUUUGGGAAUGCAGCUCAAAAUGGGUGGUAAAUUCCAUCUAAAGCUAAAUAUUGGCGAGAGACCGAUAGCGAACAAGUACCGUGAGGGAAAGAUGAAAAGAACUUUGCAAAGAGAGUUAAACAGUACGUGAAAUUGCUGAAAGGGAAACGCUUGAAGUCAGUCGCGUUGUCCGGGAAUCAGCCUUGCUUCUGCAUGGUGUACUUUCUGGUUGACGGGUCAGCAUCAAUUUUGACCGCUGGAAAAAGGCCUGGGGAAUGUGGAAGCUUCGACUGUGUUAUAGCCCCUAGUCGCAUACAGUGGUUGGGAUUGAGGAACUCAGCAC
rnacentral:rRNA from 1 species